rnacentral:rRNA from 1 species
CCUACGGGAGGCUGCAGUGGGGGAUAUUGCACAAUGGGGGAAACCCUGAUGCAGCGACGCCGCGUGUGGGAAGACGGUCCUCUGGAUUGUAAACCACUGUCCCCAGGGACGAAGAUGACGGUACCUGGGGAUGAAGCUCCGGCUAACUACGUGCCAGCACCCGCGGUAAUACGUAGGGAGCGAGCGUUGUCCGGAAUUACUGGGGGUAAAGGGAGCGUAGGCGGGGAAGCAAGUUGGGUGUCAAAACUACCGGCUCAACUGGUAGUCGCACUCGAAACUGCAGCUCUUGAGUGAAGUAGAGGCAGGCGGAAGUCCUAGUGUAGCGGUGAAAUGCGUAGAUAUUAGGAGGAACACCAGUGGCGAAGGCGGCCUGCUGGGCUUUUACUGACGCUGAGGCUCGAAAGUGUGGGGAGCAAACAGGAUUAGAUACCCUAGUAGUC